CUUGCUCUUUGGGUGGCGAGUGGCGGACGGGUGAGUAAUGUCUGGGAAACUGCCCGAUGGAGGGGGAUAACUACUGGAAACGGUAGCUAAUACCGCAUAACGUCGCAAGACCAAAGUGGGGGACCUUCGGGCCUCACACCAUCGGAUGGGCCCAGAUGGGAUUAGCUAGUAGGUGGGGUAAUGGCUCACCUAGGCGACGAUCCCUAGCUGGUCUGAGAGGAUGACCAGCCACACUGGAACUGAGACACGGUCCAGACUCCUACGGGAGGCAGCAGUGGGGAAUAUUGCACAAUGGGCGCAAGCCUGAUGCAGCCAUGCCGCGUGUAUGAAGAAGGCCUUCGGGUUGUAAAGUACUUUCAGCGGGGAGGAAGGCGGUGAGGUUAAUAACCUCGCCGAUUGACGUUACCCGCAGAAGAAGCACCGGCUAACUCCGUGCCAGCAGCCGCGGUAAUACGGAGGGUGCAAGCGUUAAUCGGAAUUACUGGGCGUAAAGCGCACGCAGGCGGUCUGUUAAGUCAGAUGUGAAAUCCCCGGGCUUAACCUGGGAACUGCAUUUGAAACUGGCAGGCUUGAGUCUCGUAGAGGGGGGUAGAAUUCCAGGUGUAGCGGUGAAAUGCGUAGAGAUCUGGAGGAAUACCGGUGGCGAAGGCGGCCCCCUGGACGAAGACUGACGCUCAGGUGCGAAAGCG
rnacentral:rRNA from 1 species